rnacentral:rRNA from 1 species
AGCGAACGUUAGCGGCGGGCCUAACACAUGCAAGUCGAACGAGAACGCUCCUUCGGGAGUUAUUAAAGUGGCGCACGGGUGAGGAACGCGUAGGUAAUCUACCCUUUGGCGGGGGACAACAUUCCGAAAGGAAUGCUAAUACCGCGUAAGACCACGCUCACUACGGUGAAAGCGGUUAAAGGUGCCUCAAAGCACCACCAGAGGAUGAGCCUGCGUCCCAUCAGCUUGUUGGUAAGGUAAUGGCUUACCAAGGCGAAGACGGGUAGCUGGUCUGAGAGGAUGAUCAGCCACACUGGCACUGGAACACGGGCCAG